UGGGGAAUUUUGGACAAUGGGCGAAAGCCUGAUCCAGCAAUGCCGCGUGUGUGAAGAAGGCCUUCGGGUUGUAAAGCACUUUUGUCCGGAAAGAAAUCCUUGGCUCUAAUACAGUCGGGGGAUGACGGUACCGGAAGAAUAAGCACCGGCUAACUACGUGCCAGCAGCCGCGGUAAUACGUAGGGUGCAAGCGUUAAUCGGAAUUACUGGGCGUAAAGCGUGCGCAGGCGGUUUGCUAAGACCGAUGUGAAAUCCCCGGGCUCAACCUGGGAACUGCAUUGGUGACUGGCAGGCUAGAGUAUGGCAGAGGGGGGUAGAAUUCCACGUGUAGCAGUGAAAUGCGUAGAGAUGUGGAGGAAUACCGAUGGCGAAGGCAGCCCCUUGGGCCAAUACUGACGCUCAUGCACGAAAGCGUGGGGAGCAAAACAGGAUUAGAUACCCUGGUAGUCCACGCCCUAAAACGAUGUCAACUAGUUGUUGGGGAUUCAUUUCCUUAGUAACGUAGCUAACGCGUGAAGUUGACCGCCUGGGGAGUACGGUCGCAAGAUUAAAACUUAAAUGAAUUGACGGGGUCAUAGCUG
rnacentral:rRNA from 1 species